GAUGAAGAACGCAGCGAAAUGCGAUAAGUAAUGUGAAUUGCAGAAUUCAGUGAAUCAUCGAAUCUUUGAACGCACAUUGCGCCCGCCAGUAUUCUGGCGGGCAUGCCUGUUCGAGCGUCAUUACAACCCUCAGGCCCCCGGGCCUGGCGUUGGGGAUCGGCGGAGCCCCCCGUGGGCACACGCCGUCCCCCAAAUACAGUGGCGGUCCCGCCGCAGCUUCCAUCGCGUAGUAGCUAACACCUCGCGACUGGAGAGCGGCGCGGCCUCGCCGUAAAACACCCAACUCUUCUGAAGUUGACCUCGAAUCAGGUAGGAAUACCCGCUGAACUUAAGCAUAUCAAUAAGCGGAGGA
rnacentral:misc_RNA from 1 species